rnacentral:rRNA from 1 species
UGGGGAAUUUUGGACAAUGGGGGCAACCCUGAUCCAGCAAUGCCGCGUGUGUGAAGAAGGCCUUCGGGUUGUAAAGCACUUUUGUCCGGGAAGAAAUCCCCUGCCCUAAUACGGCGGGGGGAUGACGGUACCGGAAGAAUAAGCACCGGCUAACUACGUGCCAGCAGCCGCGGUAAUACGUAGGGUGCGAGCGUUAAUCGGAAUUACUGGGCGUAAAGCGUGCGCAGGCGGUGAUGUAAGACCGAUGUGAAAUCCCCGGGCUCAACCUGGGAACUGCAUUGGUGACUGCAUUGCUCGAGUAUGGCAGAGGGGGGUGGAAUUCCACGUGUAGCAGUGAAAUGCGUAGAGAUGUGGAGGAACACCGAUGGCGAAGGCAGCCCCCUGGGCCAAUACUGACGCUCAUGCACGAAAGCGUGGGGAGCAAACAGGAUUAGAUACCCUGGUAGUCCACGCCCUAAACGAUGUCAACUGGUUGUCGGGCCUUCAUUGGCUUGGUAACGUAGCUAACGCGUGAAGUUGACCGCCUGGGGAGUACGGUCGCAAGAUU